CCUACGGGAGGCAGCAGUGGGGAAUAUUGGACAAUGGGGGAACCCUGAUCCAGCCAUGCCGCGUGUGUGAAGAAGGCCCUCGGGUUGUAAAGCACUUUCAGUGAGGAAGAACGCCUGGUGGUUAAUACCCAUCAGGAAAGACAUCACUCACAGAAGAAGCACCGGCUAACUCCGUGCCAGCAGCCGCGGUAAUACGGAGGGUGCGAGCGUUAAUCGGAAUUACUGGGUGUAAAGCGCGCGUAGGUGGCUUGAUAAGCCGGUUGUGAAAGCCCCGGGCUCAACCUGGGAACGGCAUCCGGAACUGUCAAGCUAGAGUGCAGGAGAGGAAGGUAGAAUUCCCGGUGUAGCGGUGAAAUGCGUAGAGAUCGGGAGGAAUACCAGUGGCGAAGGCGGCCUUCUGGACUGACACUGACACUGAGGUGCGAAAGCGUGGGUAGCAAACAGGAUUAGAUACCCCUGUAGUC
rnacentral:rRNA from 1 species